CCUACGGGGGGCAGCAGUGAGGAAUAUUGGUCAAUGGACGAGAGUCUGAACCAGCCAUGCCGCGUGAAGGAUGACUGCCCUAUGGGUUGUAAACUUCUUUUAUAUGGGAAUAAACUGUUCCACGUGUGGGAUUUUGUAUGUACCAUAUGAAUAAGGAUCGGCUAACUCCGUGCCAGCAGCCGCGGUAAUACGGAGGAUCCGAGCGUUAUCCGGAUUUAUUGGGUUUAAAGGGAGCGUAGGUGGUUUGUUAAGUCAGUUGUGAAAGUGUGCGGCUCAACGGUAAAAUUGCAGUUGAUACUGUCAGUCUUGAGUACAGUAGAGGUGGGCGGAAUGCGUGGUGUAGCGGUGAAAUGCUUAGAGAUCACGAAGAACUCCGAUUGCGAAGGCAGCUCACGGGACUGCAACUGACACUGAGGCACGAAAGUGUGGGUAUCAAACAGGAUUAGAUACCCGAGUAGUC
rnacentral:rRNA from 1 species